GCCACGUAGAGCUGUGAGCCAACAGGAGUUACGAGGUUAACCUGACAUGUGUGACGUGACGCGUGAGUGAAGGACACCCACACACUCAGAAAGCAGAACACAGCCAAUUAUCUCCCAUCGGCAGCAGCAUAGUCUGUGUUUGCGGCUCCGGUCCCCGCAGGAGGCCUUUUGCCUUUUGGUAGGCCAUCAUUGUAAGUAAGAAUGUGUUCUUAACUGACUUGCCUAGCUAAAUAAAGGUUAAAUCAAACCGGGCCUUCUAAUCCUGGGAGAGACACACUGCCAGACAGGGUCACAGGUGGAGAGAGG
rnacentral:lncRNA from 1 species